rnacentral:rRNA from 1 species
AGUCGACGAUGAUCUCCAGCUUGCUGGGGGGAUUAGUGGCGAACGGGUGAGUAACACGUGAGUAACCUGCCCUUAACUCUGGGAUAAGCCUGGGAAACUGGGUCUAAUACCGGAUAUGACUCCUCAUCGCAUGGUGGGGGGUGGAAAGCUUUUUGUGGUUUUGGAUGGACUCGCGGCCUAUCAGCUUGUUGGUGAGGUAAUGGCUCACCAAGGCGACGACGGGUAGCCGGCCUGAGAGGGUGACCGGCCACACUGGGACUGAGACACGGCCCAGACUCCUACGGGAGGCAGCAGUGGGGAAUAUUGCACAAUGGGCGCAAGCCUGAUGCAGCGACGCCGCGUGAGGGAUGACGGCCUUCGGGUUGUAAACCUCUUUCAGUAGGGAAGAAGCGAAAGUGACGGUACCUGCAGAAGAAGCGCCGGCUAACUACGUGCCAGCAGCCGCGGUAAUACGUAGGGCGCAAGCGUUAUCCGGAAUUAUUGGGCGUAAAGAGCUCGUAGGCGGUUUGUCGCGUCUGCCGUGAAAGUCCGGGGCUCAACUCCGGAUCUGCGGUGGGUACGGGGCAGACUAGAGUGAUGU